rnacentral:rRNA from 1 species
CUCAGGGAGGUAGUGACAAGAAAUAACAACACUGGAAAUUUUAUUUCUAGUGAUUGGAAUGAUGGGAAUUUAAACCCCUUUCAGAGUAACAAUUGGAGGGCAAGUCUGGUGCCAGCAGCCGCGGUAAUUCCAGCUCCAAUAGCGUAUAUUAAAGUUGUUGCAGUUAAAAAGCUCGUAGUUGGAUGUCUGCUGGAAGCAAUCAGUCCGCCCUAUUUGUAGGGUGUGCACUUGAUGAAUUCUGGCAUCUAUGUCCUAAUGUGAUAGAUACGGCGGUGUAUAUGGGUUAAUCCUAUAUACCCGUUUUUGUAUAUUAUAUUGGGAUAAUACCGUUACUUUGAGAAAAUUAGAGUGUUUGAAGCAGGCUAAUUGCCUUGAAUACUGCAGCAUGGAAUAACAAUAUAGGAUUUCGGUUCUAUUUUGUUGGUUUCUAGGACUGAAAUAAUGAUUAAUAGGGACAGUUGGGGGCAUUCGUAUUUAACUGUCAGAGGUGAAAUUCUUAGAUUUGUUAAAGACGAACUACUGCGAAAGCAUUUGCCAAAGAUGUUUUCAUUAAUCAAGAACGAAAGUUAGGGGCUCGAAGACGAUCAGAUACCGUCGUAGUCUUAACCAUAAACUAUGCCGACUAGAGAUAGGAAAAUGUCAUUUUUCUGACUU